rnacentral:rRNA from 1 species
GAUGAACGCUGGCGGCGUGCCUAAUACAGGCAAGUCGAGCGAACAGACGAGGAGCUUGCUCCUCUGACGUUAGCGGCGGACGGGUGAGUAACACGUGGAUAACCUACCUAUAAGACUGGGAUAACUUCGGGAAACCGGUGCUAAUACUGCAUAAUAUAUUGAACCGCAUGGUUCAAUAGUGAAAGACGGCUUUGCUGUCACUUAUAGAUGGAUCCGCGUCGCAUUAGCUAGUUGGUAAGGUAACGGCUUACCAAGGCAACGAUGCGUAGCCGACCUGAGAGGGUGAUCGGCCACACUGGAACUGAGACACGGUCCAGACUCCUACGGGAGGCAGCAGUAGGGAAUCUUCCACAAUGGGCGAAAGCCUGACCGAGCAACGCCGCGUGAGUGAUGAAGGUCUUCGGAUCGUAAAACUCUGUUAUUGGGGAAGAACAAAUGUGUAAGUAACUAUGCACGUCUUGACGGUACCUAAUCAGAAAGCCCCGGCUAACUACGUG